GUAUGACACGCCCUUGGCCUCGGCGGCCGGC
rnacentral:sRNA from 1 species